CACGUAGGGUGCGAGCGUUGUCCGGAAUUAUUGGGCGUAAAGAGCUCGUAGGCGGUGUGUCGCGUCGGCCGUGAAAACCUGCAGCUUAACUGUGGGCUUGCGGUCGAUACGGGCAUCACUGGAGUUCGGCAGGGGAGACUGGAAUUCCUGGCGUAGCGGUGAAAUGCGCAGAUAUCAGGAGGAACACCGGUGGCGAAGGCGGGUCUCUGGGCCGAUACUGACGCUGAGGAGCGAAAGCGUGGGGAGCGAACAGG
rnacentral:rRNA from 1 species